GUGCUUGCUUUGGCAGCAUAUAUACUAAAAUUGGAACGAUACAGAGAAGAUUAGCAUGGCCCCUGCGCAAGAAUUAAUUUGAUCUUAAUUUGAAUAAACAAAGUGCU